UACGGAGGGUCCAAGCGUUAUCCGGAAUUACUGGGCGUAAAGAGUUGCGUAGGUGGCAUAGUAAGCAGGUAGUGAAAUCGUGUGGCUCAACCAUACUCACAUUACUUGAACUGCUAAGCUCGAGGGCGAGAGAGGUGACUGGAAUUCCUUGUGUAGGAGUGAAAUCCGUAGAUAUAAGGAGGAACACCGAUGGCGUAGGCAGGUCACUGGCUCGUCCCUGACACUAAGGCACGAAAGCGUGGGGAGCGACCGGG
rnacentral:rRNA from 1 species